GAUGAAGAACGUAGCGAAAUGCGAUAAGUAAUGCGAAUUGCAGAAUUUCCGUGAGUCAUCGAAUCUUUGAACGCACAUUGCGCCCGCCAGCAUUCUGGCGGGCAUGCCUGUUCGAGCGUCAUUUCAACCCUCGCAGCCCCUCUGGGCAGCGGUGUUGGGGAGCGGCAGAACCGGCGCGGCCCUCGUGGCCGCCCGGCGCCCCCCCCGAAAUACAGUGGCGGUCCCGCCGCAGCCUCCCCUGCGUAGUAGCACACCUCGCACCGGAGCGCGGCUCGGCCACGCCGUAAAACCCCCGACUCUCUGAGUUUGACCUCGAAUCAGGUAGGAAUACCCGCUGAACUUAAGCAUAUCAAUAAGCGGAGGA
rnacentral:misc_RNA from 1 species